rnacentral:rRNA from 1 species
AUGAGUAGCGAGAUGUGGGUGAGAAUCCCACAGGCCGUAAACCCAAGGUUUCCAGGGGAAGGUUCGUCCGCCCUGGGGUAGUCGGGACCUAAGCUGAGGCCGAAAGGCGUAGGUGAUGGACAACAGGGUGAUAUUCCUGUACUACCGAUAACCGUUUGAGAGAAGGGAUGACACAGUAGGAUAAGCUAAGCACACUGUUGGUUAU